CCAACGGCUCUUUUAAGAGCCACCCACAUUUUCCAGAAAGAGCUG
rfam:Alligator mississippiensis ScZkoYb_5, whole genome shotgun sequence.